AUUGAACGCUGGCGGCAUGCCUUACACAUGCAAGUCGAACGGUAACGGGCCUUCGGGUGCCGACGAGUGGCGAACGGGUGCGUAAUACAUCGGAACGUGCCCGAUCGUGGGGGGUAACGAGGCGAAAGCUUUGCUAAUACCGCAUACGAUCUACGGAUGAAAGCAGGGGACCGCAAGGCCUUGCGCGGACGGAGCGGCCGAUGGCAGAUUAGGUAGUUGGUGGGAUAAAAGCUUACCAAGCCGACGAUCUGUAGCUGGUCUGAGAGGAUGAUCAGCCACACUGGGACUGAGACACGGCCCAGACUCCUACGGGAGGCAGCAGUGGGGAAUUUUGGACAAUGGGCGCAAGCCUGAUCCAGCCAUGCCGCGUGCAGGAUGAAGGCCUUCGGGUUGUAAACUGCUUUUGUACGGAACGAAAAGCCUUCUUUUAAUACAGGAGGGUCAUGACGGUACCGUAAGAAUAAGCACCGGCUAACUACGUG
rnacentral:rRNA from 1 species